UAGACAUAUUCAGUAAUUUACAUACAUUUUAUUUUUCAUCUACAUAUACACGUUCAUAUGCAUACGCAUCAUCAUACACAACACCCAUGGACUCAUAUACAGUAACAUUUUUCAAAGAGGCAGGGUCCAACCAGUUUGAACCCUUCCUUGACAGGCAGAACACAAGGACUGUUCAGACCAUGGUAGUUCUGCCACUGGACAACUUAUUUUUUCCUUUAGAAACUGGUUUAAUGUCUGUGCAAUGAUCUAGGGUCCACAGUAAUGAAAGUCUACAACACUGGAUUAGGAAGCACCUCUAGUGGCUGUCUGAAUGACUCCAUUAGAGGUGUAACUAGCCAGCAUUGUAAACACUGCCUUUUCUACAGCUUACUGCAUUAAGUUGUAGUGGUUCUGGUAAUUAUAGUGUCCCUAUAAUAACCCUGUGGGAGAUUUGAAGAAUAAUGGGUAAAACAAGGUAGAUAGGCUGGAAGGGGAAACAGGAAAUGACUGAAGAAUCAGUGACAGAAAAUAAUAGAAAAGUAUAGCAGAAGAGAAAGGAAUUAAUAUGAUUUAAAACUGAAGGAGAAUAGGAGUACAUACAGAAAAUGGCUAAGUGAAUGAGGAAAGUAACUGGCUCAGGAGAAAGAGUUUGGGAGGAACUGACAUGCAAAAAACAUUUUAGUAAGGACGGUUGCUUGACAUAAUCCAAAGUCUAUCUGUAUUUUGUGUUUGAAUAUAUUGCUAAGAAGAAUGAUUCCAGAGAGAGAGCAAACAGAAGUGUACAGAUUCGAUUACAUUUUUUUAAAACCCCAACAUGUUAGCAUGAACUACAACUCAUAAUAAUUAGAACAAUAUAUAGGAUAUAGAUAAAAAUAAU